UACGGAGGGUGCAAGCGUUGUUCGGAUUCAUUGGGCGUAAAGGGUGUGUAGGUGGCGCCGUAAGUGGGGUGUGAAAUUUCGAGGCUUAACCUCGAAACUGCAUUCCAUACUGCGGUGCUUGAGGACUGGAGAGGAGACUGGAAUUUACGGUGUAGCAGUGAAAUGCGUAGAUAUCGUAAGGAAGACCAGUGGCGAAGGCGGGUCUCUGGACAGUUCCUGACACUGAGACACGAAGGCCAGGGGAGCAAACGGG
rnacentral:rRNA from 1 species